UUAAAUAAUAACAUAAAGAAACAAAUUUUGGUCCCUAAGAGACCUCAUGAUGCAUAUGAUAUGAAUGUAAAAGUAAAUUCUUUGUGGGGAAAUAUUACCACAAAGGAAAAGAAAUCAGAGAGACCGAAAGUCCACUGGAGCAUAAUGCAUUCCGUAAGGAAAAUUCACUGGGGUGACAGAGACUCUGAGGGAUAAAGAAGUUAUGUGUAGGCCAGACUACGACUUAA
rnacentral:lncRNA from 1 species